AACAGAGUGAUUGGACUCUCAAGUGACUUGCAGCAAGUAGGAGGGGCAUCAGCUCGCAUCCAGGAUGCCCUGAGUACAGUGUUGCAAUAUGCAGAGGAUGUACUGUCUGGAAAGGUGUCAGCUGACAAUACUGUGGGCCGCUUCCUGAUGAGCCUGGUUAACCAAGUACCGAAAAUAGUUCCCGAUGACUUUGAGACCAUGCUCAACAGCAACAUCAAUGUGAGUGCCCUUCCUGAGCCCCUUCUUGCCUGGUUUCUUCCCCCACCUCAGCACAUACACUCAAAUGUGAAAAGAGUUGGGUGAGGUGACCUGGAGUAGGAUAGAGACAGGGCUUCACCUAUAGCCCCACUGAAGUCCAGGUUGGGAGGAAGGAAGAGGUGUGUUAUGCGUGGUUGGAGACUUCCUUCCUUCUCCCAUGAUUCCAUUGUCUCAUUUACUGCUGAUACUACUGUGACUUACUGUCUAAAUUCGUGAUGGAAAGAAAC
rnacentral:lncRNA from 1 species